AACGCACCUUGCGCCCUUUGGUAUUCCGAAGGGCAUGCCUGUUUGAGUGUCAUUAAAUUCUCAACCUGAUGAUGGUUAAUUCCUUCUAUCAGGCUUGGAUCUGAGGGCUUUGUCGGACUCCUUAAACCGAGGUCGACUCCCUUUAAAUUUAUUAGCGGAUUUUGCCAUCGUGGAUACGCCUCGAUUUGAUAAUAUCUAUGUCGUCGCGCUGAAGCGGUAAUCUGCUCCUAAUCGUCUUUGGACAAACAUAACUUGACCAUUUGACCUCAAAUCAGGUAGGACUACCCGCUGAACUUAA
rnacentral:misc_RNA from 1 species